rnacentral:rRNA from 1 species
GCUCAACCGGGGAGGGUCAUUGGAAACUGGGGAACUUGAGUGCGGAAGAGGAGAGUGGAAUUCCACGUGUAGCGGUGAAAUGCGUAGAGAUGUGGAGGAACACCAGUGGCGAAGGCGACUCUCUGGUCUGUAACUGACGCUGAGGCGCGAAAGCGCGGGGAGCGAACAGGAUUAGAUACCCUGGUAGUCCACGCCGUAAACGAUGAGUGCUAAGUGUUAGAGGGUUUCCGCCCUUUAGUGCUGCAGCAAACGCAUUAAGCACUCCGCCUGGGGAGUACGGUCGCAAGACUGAAACUCAAAGGAAUUGACGGGGGCCCGCACAAGCGGUGGAGCAUGUGGUUUAAUUCGAAGCAACGCGAGGAACCUUACCAGGUCUUGACAUCCUCUGGCAACCCUAGAGAUAGGGCUUCCCCUUCGGGGGCAGAGUGACAGGUGGUGCAUGGUUGUCGUCAGCUCGUGUCGUGAGAUGUUGGGUUAAGUCCCGCAACGAGCGCAACCCUUGACCUUAGUUGCCAGCAUUCAGUUGGGCACUCUAAGGUGACUGCCGGUGACAAACCGGAGGAAGGUGGGGAUGACGUCAAAUCAUCAUGCCCCUUAUGACCUGGGCUACACACGUGCUACAAUGGGCAGAACAAAG